CAGCGCCGACUGUGCACCCAUAGGACACACUUCCACUUCACUAGCACUUUCCAGUUUCAUUCCUAUCUAUAUUCUGAAGCUUUUUACAGAGAGAACCUCCAAAACAAUUCACAGACUAUAUUUUUAAACAUGAUGUGUUUUUAUGCCACAGUUUUUGUCCAACAGGUUCUUUAGAGCCAAAUAUAGGCUGUUAUCAGCAGCUGCAGCAUGACUCUGCAGUUCAGAAUAACUGAAAGUGACUGAAGAGGAAGACAGAUUAAAACCAGCGGCUGCAAGAAAACCAUUGAGAAAAACAAGUUUGUCUUCCUCUCACAACGACCUCGACUCACCCGCUCAAAUCCUGCAUAUUUAAUCCACUCAAGACGGAAGUGAAGAAUGAAAAGAGGAGAAGAUGAGGAUGAGGAGCGUCUGGUGAAGAGCGGAGACUCUCGAGAGGAUGGAGGACAGAAACACUGCAAUGAUUGUGUUGCUCCUGCUGUGCAUCGCUGCAGAGCUGCAGGUCGACGGCCUCUCUCUGGAUGUGUGUGCUAGCUGCCACCCUAAUGCUAAUUGUGACGACAAGUCAGACGGCUCGGGGAAAGUCUGCAACUGCAUGUACGGCUUCGUUGGAAAUGGGAGAACUUACUGUCAAGAUAAAGACGAGUGUCAGAUCGGAGCCAGUAAGAUCUGCGGCUUUCAGACGACCUGCCACAACACGUACGGCAGCUACUACUGCACCUGCCUGAGCGGAUUCAACCCAUCCAACAACAUGGACGUCUUCAUCCCCAACGACGGCACACACUGCCAGGACAUUGAUGAGUGCACCAUCACAGGCCUGUGUGGAGAGGGGGGUCAGUGCAGGAAUCUGGAGGGAAGCUUUGACUGCAGCUGCAUGCUGGGAUAUGAAGUCCAAAACGGGGCUGCGCCCUUCCACCCUCACACAGACAAAGCUUUCUGCAAAGUGGUCGACUGUGGUCGUCCGGUGCCAGCGGAGGACACGGUACUUCUGUCGGUGUCAGGUACAACGUACGGCAGCGCGGCCAUGUUGGUUUGUGAGGAGGGCUUCGUGCGGAGGAGAGGAAACAACAGAUCUGUGUGUGAAGCUGACGGCCGGUGGAGAGGAGGCGACAUGAUAUGUGAAGAGGUGGACUGUGGGCUCCCGCCGGCCGCCCCUCACUCUCACAGGCUGUGGGAUCAGAGCUCCAGGCUGGGCUCCCGGGUGAUUUAUCAGUGUUAUUCUGGAUAUCAUAAUGUGGGGAGAGGAAAUGUGACGGUGUGUACGGCUGCAGGAGAGUGGGAGAGACCACCGGUGCUCUGCAAAGAGACUUUGUGUGGAAGUCCUCCCAUAAUUGAGUCCACUGUGCAGGUGUGGGAUGGUGGCUCAGCCCCGGGCAGCAGAGUGCUGUAUGUCUGUAAAGAGGGCUUUAAAAUCAGUGGAGGAAAUAAUUCUGUCUGUAGUGAAACCGGUCAGUGGACCAACCCGACUCUGACCUGCCAAGAGAUAUUAUGUGGGGAUCCUCCCACUCUGCCUCACACUGAGCGGGUGUGGAGAGGCAGCUCCACUCCUGGAAGCACGGUGACUUAUGUCUGUAAAACACGGUUUAAUCACAAUGAAGGAAAUAACAUAUCAUUGUGCACAAGUAAUGGUUACUGGACACAACCGAACAUCUCAUGCAAAGAGGUGGACUGUGGGGUCCCUGCAGAGAUCCCUCUCUCUGUCAGGCUGUGGGAUAAAGUCUCCUCUGUUGGCUCUCUGGUUGUUUAUCAGUGUGACUCUGGAUAUGGAAAUAAUGGAGGGGAUAAUGUGUCUGUUUGUACGGCCAGAGGAGAGUGGGAGGGAGCCUCUCUGCAAUGUGAAGAGAUCAGUUGUGGAGAGCCUGUUUUUAAAUCCCACGCUGUGAUGCUUUGGGACGGCUCCUCUCAUGUUGGCAGUGUGGUGAUGUACAGAUGUGAGGAGGGGUUCCACAGCAGGGGCCUCAGGAACUCCUCCCUGUGUGGAGAGGAGGGGGAGUGGGAGGAAACUGAUCUGUGGUGUGAAGAAAUAAGCUGUGGCCCCCCCGCCACACUCCCCCACACUCACAUGCUGUGGGAUGGCAGCCGGUCGCCGGGCAGCGUUCGGCUGUACCAGUGCAUGGAGGGAUUUCACCAGGAGGGGGGGAAUAAUAUGUCCACAUGUUUACUGUCAGGACAGUGGGGGGAGGUUUCUAUAAAGUGCAAAGCUGAAUGUGGUCCGGCUCCCGUCCUGGAUCACUCUGAGGUGGUUUGGCACAACCAGAGCGUAGUGGUGCACAGAUGUGUGGAGGGAUACCACAGCUGGAGAGGAAGCAACAUCUCUGUGUGCGACUCCUCUGGAGAGUGGAGGAGCGCUACACUCACAUGCAUAGAAAUAAAGCCACCUGUACAUCAUCUUCGUGUCCUCAAUGAACGAUGUGUGAAGUGGAGAGCAGAGAAGUAUGAGGAGGACACAGAAAAAUACAAGGUAACGUACACGGGAUCCAGAGACUACCAGAGGUCCUUUCAUGAUAAGAGGAAGCGUUUUCUGAGCUCUAAAGCUGACGAGCUGCAGCUCUGUUUGAAUCUACUUCCUGUCACAAACUACAGCAUCUCCAUCACUGCAGCCUCCUCCAGAUUCACAGCCUCCAUCACCACCAACACCAGCCUGACAGUGCCUCCAGCACCAGAUGUGUACUACAGAGAGUUUGAAACUCCUGUACCAACUCUGAGGCUGCGCAGAGCUCCAAACAAACUCGACCCAAUCAGUGUGUAUCAGGUGUUUGUGCUUCCUGUGGAGGGGAUCAUGAUCUUUGACUGUUCCUCUCCUGCCAGCUCAGACCCCAAAAUAAAAUCCUCUUCAGAGUACAUCACGGGACAGUUUGAUGUCCAACAUGUCGGGACGGAGAUGAACUUCACUGUCGGGGACGGACUCCUCUACGGAGGCUUCUUUAAUGCACCGCUGCAGAACGGCAGGAGUUAUUAUAUCAUACUCAGAUCUGUCAGUCAGUGGAAAUCAGUGGGCUUUAAAAAGUUCCUGUGUCCUGUGGGCUAAAGUGACAGGUACCUCGUAUGUCCUGAGGGUUUCCUCUCUGUCUGCUACUGCAUUUGUAGGGCUGGUGGCCUUUUUCAUUAUCGGUGGAUACAGUUUCAACUGGUUUCUCAAGCGGACAUGACCCCCCUGAGUGCUGAUGUUCUGUCAUUUACAUAUUUUUUAAUGUACAUUUUCUGAAUUAUUUUUAAUCAACUUUUACUUCAAAUGCUU